rnacentral:rRNA from 1 species
UUCCGGUUGAUCCUGCCGGAGGUCACUGCUAUUGGGAUUCGACUAAGCCAUGCGAGUCGAGAGGGUUCGGCCCUCGGCUGACGGCUCAGUAACACGUGGAUAAUCUGCCCUUAGGUGGAGGAUAACCUCGGGAAACUGAGAAUAAUACUCCAUAGGUCUAGGAGGCUGGAAUGCACUUAGACUGAAAGUUCCGGCGCCUAAGGAUGAGUCUGCGGACUAUCAGGUGGUAGUCAGGGUAAAGACCUGACUAGCCUACGACGGAUACGGGUUGUGAGAGCAAUAACCCGGAGACGAUAUCUGAGACACGAUAUCGGGCCCUACGGGGCGCAGCAGGCGCGAAAACUUCACACUGUGCGAAAGCACGAUGAGGGAAUCCCAAGUGCCAGCUCGUAAGAGUUGGCUGUUUUUCUGUCUAAAAAACAGAGAGAGUAAGGGCUGGGUAAGACGGGUGCCAGCCGCCGCGGUAAUACCUGCAGCUCAAGUGGUGGCCGUUAUUAUUGGGCCUAAAACGUCCGUAGCCGGUUUAGUAAAUGCCUGGGUAAAUCGCGUAGCUUAACUAUGCGAAUUCCGGGUAGACUGCUAGACUUGAGACCGGGAGAAGCUAGAGGUACUCCUGGGGUAGAGGUGAAAUUCUGUAAUCCUAGGGGGACCACCAGUGGCGAAGGCGUCUAGCUAGAACGGGUCUGACGGUGAGGGACGAAACCCUGGGUCGCAAACCGGAUUAGAUACCCGGGUAGUCCAGGGCGUAAACGCUGCUUGCUUGAUGUUAGUUGGGCUCCGAGCCCAAUUAGUGUCGGAGAGAAGUUGUUAAGCAAGCUGCCUGGGAAGUACGGUCGCAAGACUGAAACUUAAAGGAAUUGGCGGGGGAGCACAGCAACGGGUGGAGCGUGCGGUUUAAUUGGACUCAACGCCGGU